rnacentral:rRNA from 1 species
GAUGAACGCUGGCGGCGUGCCUAAUACAUGCAAGUCGAGCGAACGGACGAGAAGGUUUCUUCUCUGAUGUUAGCGGCGGACGGGUGUGUAAAACGUGGAUAACCUACCUAUAAGACUGGGAUAAAUUCGGGAAACCGGAGCUAAUACCGGAUAAUAUUUUGAACCUCAUGGUUCAAAAGUGAAAGACGGUCUUGCUUUCACUAUUAGCUUGAUCCGCGCUGCAUUAUCUAUUUGGUAAGGUAACGGCUUACCAAGGCAACGAUGCAUAGCCGACCUGAGAGGGGGAUCGGCCCCCCCGGAACUGUACCACGGUCCGGACCACUCCGGGAGGCAGCAGUAGGGAAUCUUACGCAAUGGGCGAAAGGCUGGCGGAACCCAGCCGCGUGAGUGAUGAAGGUCUUCGGAUCGUAAAACUCUGUUAUUAGGGAAGAACAUAUGUGUAAGUAACUGUGCACAUCUUGACGGUACCUAAUCAGAAAGCAACGGCUAACUCCGUG